CAGUAGGUAGUUUAUUGUUAAAAUAUAGUAUUUGGGUUACUAUGAAUUGUUACUGA
rnacentral:tRNA from 1 species